CUUAGAACAUGUUGUCUCGCUUGUACUAGCCUACGGUUUAGUCUGUUCUUAGCGUGAAGCCCUUCGGACGUUCUGUUUGUUUCACAAGUCUGGACAGCAAAGAAAAGAUUGAGGUUUCACAUUCGCAAGACGACAGCAAUAUCUAUUGUAUCACAAAGCAGUGCGGGAUCCGAGCCCAAUUUCAGUACAUAUAUUUAAAAAUGGUCACCUUUUUGUGCGCUUUGUCACUACGGGGAUUGCCGUCCACAGUGAUUUGAUUGCUUUCUGCCACCAAUUUUAGGUCUGUCUUUUCAAAAG